UACAGAGGUGGCGAGCGUUAUUCGGAAUUAUUGGGCGUAAAGGGCGCGUAGGCGGCCAGAUAAGUCCCGGGUGAAAUCCCUCGGCUCAACCGAGGAACUGCCUUGGAAACUGUCUGGCUCGAGGCCGGGAGAGGGUAGUGGAAUUCCCAGUGUAGCGGUGAAAUGCGUAGAUACUGGGAGGAACACCGGUGGCGAAGGCGGCUACCUGGACCGGUUCUGACGCUGAUGCGCGAAAGCGUGGGGAGCAAACAGG
rnacentral:rRNA from 1 species